AAUAAGAAGACAGAAUCAGUCAUUGAGAAAAAAUAUUGACAUUCAUCAUAGGUGUCCAUACACGUUAAACUUUCAUGGAGGAGCCCCAUACCUGCACAGGUGACCUUGUUGCGGGCAUUUUUAUUUCCAAGGGCCACUUAUAACAACAAACUGCCUAAAUUUGCACAAUUUGCAAUUUAGUAGAUAUUUAAACCGUGGGUUUUCAAAACCACAUUUCUGAAUUCGGGCCAUGGUGUCUCAUAUCACAUAAUUCAAUAAUCAAUCUAUCACUUUAAGUUUGAUAAAUAAAUGAAUGGCAUUGUACCUGAUUAUACAAGAAACUUUGCAGAAAUCAAAUUUGCUAGAAAUAUAAAAUGGGUCAAUAAUGUGUAUAAGCCAAAGAAUUGUAUCAAUAAGUCAAGAAAAUUUCCCUUAACCAUUAAAGGCAUAGGUAAAUAUAUAACAUUUCCUUGGCAAUUUCUUGGCCCAUACAUUUUGAAGACAUGUAAAAUGCAAUCAUAUUGUGACCCCUUCCCCCUCCCUCCCCCUGUAUUUUUUUUGAGGGGGGGUGGAGGGGUGAUGCACAGAUUAAUCAAACCGUUUGGUUGGACUAGUGCAAAGCUGAUUGUAUAUAGUUGCAAUAUUAGUAAUCAAAUUAACUGGCCUUGCCUUACAAAGCACUGCGACUGACCGGAUCAAUCACAAACAUGGAAAUCCACAAAGUCUACAUCGACAACAUGAGGUCCGUUCAAAUAGUUUUUCUAAUUGUGAUGUAGGCCUAUACUCAUGCAUGCAUCACAAUUUUAAUCAAUCUGUGUGGUCCCCUUGUUUCCAAGGCGACAUUUAAGUACAUUUCCUACAU